GUUGAACGCUGGCGGCAGGCCUAACACAUGCAAGUCGAGCGGAGCGGCGGACGGGUGAGUAAUGCCUAGGACUCGUCCUGGUCGUGGGGGAGAACGCACGGCAACGGGCGCUAAUACCGCCUACUAUCUGAUGAGCCUAGGUCGGAUGGGCUAGUUGGUGGGGUAAGGGCCUACCAAGGCGACGAUCCGUAACUGGGCUGAGAGGAUGAUCAGUCACACUGGAACUGCGACACGUGCCAGACUCCUACGGGAGGCAGCAGUGGGGAAUAUUGGACAAUGGGCGCAAGCCUGAUGCAGCCAUGCCGCGUGUAUGAAGAAGGUCUUCGGAUUGUAAAGCACUUUAAGUCGGGAGGCGUUACCAACAGAAUAAGCACCGGCUAACUUCGUGCCAGCAGCCGCGGUAAUAC
rnacentral:rRNA from 1 species